ensembl:lncRNA
GGAAAAAAAGCCACCUUUGGGAGCAGCGGAGCUUCUCAGCUGGCCAGGCGGGGGCCACCCUAAGAUGAAGACAGGUGGGGCUAACAGGAUGAAAUUCCAAGGGACCAAAGUCUGGAUAACUUCUUCCCCUGAGGCAGUAGAAGAAUCUGCUGAUGGAGAGACGGCAGAAUUGGAACCACAGGAGAGAACACAGUUGCCAUGAGAUGAGAAGCCCAAGCCACAUGGAAAGGCCACAUGUGGACUUUCUGGUCGAAAAGUAGCCUCAACUGCCAGCCAUGUGACAUUGAUGGUUCAGCCUAAUUGGGUUCCAGAUGACUGCAGCCCCAGCAGCGUCAUAAGAAUGGGAAGACCUGUGCAGCUUGGCCCAGAGUUGUGAGUGCCAUAAUCACAGCCAGUGAAGCAACUGACUAGAAACUUCCCCAAGUUCACAUCCUUUCCAGCUGUUCAGAGGAUCUCUGUCAGAUCUGCCUGGGAGAACAGUAAAGAGACUCAGUGGUAAAACACAACACAAAUAAUUGCUCAUCCUGUGUGAAAUGCCUUCCAUCACCCUUGGGGAAACCUCCUUGUGGCAGGAAGAAGCCAGGUAGCAUGGAAUAAGAGGGGGUAUUUAUGACAAUCCACAGAGCAGAGCCCUCACCUUGUGGAGCAUGGUGGUCAACCUCAGUGGCCAGUGGAUGCCAGAUCUCUGUGAUGGGGACAUUGCCUUGAGUGGAUGGGCUCAUCAGGCACUGCAGAAACAAAUGUUAGGGGAUGCUUGGUGCUUCCUACAUGAAUCCUUCGCUUUGUGGUAAUUACGGUUGCUACCUGGAGAAAGAGUAUAGAACACGAGUGUUGGAUUUUUUCCUCCAUGAUUUAAUUCCCUCAAUUUUAUUUGGCAAAUAUGAAGAGACAAUUUUGUUUAUGCCUAUAGUUGGGAGAAUGCAGUGGAACUUUAAGUGUCUUUGGUGGCAAAAUCUUAUAAGGUCACAAAAUGACUAUGUUACUCCAUUCUUGAAAGUUGGAAUACAGUUUAGGUUACUCAUGUUUUCCCUCUGAUGAGUAGCUGGAAAACAGCUGGAAGAGAUGAGACAGAGAAAUGUGCAAAGGUCUGGGGACAGCGUUGGAAGCCUGACCUUCUUUCUGGUGUACAUCAUUAUAUAUUUCAAAUUCUGUGUGGAUUACAUCUUGUUCACCACCCAAAGACUAAUGACAAUCCAUCACCACACAUAUGUGCCUAAUCACUAGUUUCCCUCUCCUGCCUCCCCCUUGCCUCUCUGGUGACCACCAAUCCAAUUGCUGUUGCUAUGUGUUUAUUUGUUGUUGUUUUUAUCUUCUACUUAUAAGUGAGAUCACAUGGUAUUUAACUUUCGCCCUCUGACUUAUUUCACUUAGCAUGAUACCCUCAAGGUCCAUCCAUGUUGUCACAAAUGGCCAGAUUUCAUCAUUUCUUAUAGCUGAGUAGUAUUCCACUGUGUAUACAUACCACUUCUUCUUCAACCUAUGUUGCUUCCAAGUCUUGGCUAUUGUGAAUAAUGCUCCAAUGAAUAUAGAGGUGCAUGUAUCUUUACGCAUUCAUGUUUUCAUGUUCUUUGGAUAACUACCUAGCAGUGGAAUAGCUGGAUCAUAUGGUAGAUCUAGUCUUAAUUUUUUGAGGAAUCUCCAUACUGUUUUCCAUAGUGGCUACACCAGUUUGCACUCCCACCAGCAGUGUAUGAGGGUUCCUUUCUCUCCACGUCCUUCCCAACACUUAUUGUUUCCUGUCUUGUUAAUUAUAGCUAUUCUGAUGGGAGUAGUUUUGACUUGUAGUUUUGUAGUUUGUUUUGUAGUUUGACUUGCGAUUUGUACUAAUCAUUGUCAUUUUGAUUUGCAUUUCCCUGAUAGUUGAUGAUGUUGAACAUCUUUUCAUGUGCCUGUUGGCCAUCUGUAUAUUUUCUUUGGAGAAAUCUCUGUUCAGAUCUUUUGCCCAUUUUUUAAUAGGGUUGUUGGUUUUUUUUUGCUGUUGAGAUGUAUG